rnacentral:rRNA from 1 species
AACGAACGCUGGCGGCAGGCUUAACACAUGCAAGUCGAGCGCCCCGCAAGGGGAGCGGCAGACGGGUGAGUAACGCGUGGAAUCUACCCAUCUCUACGGAACAACUCCGGGAAACUGGAGCUAAUACCGUAUACGUCCUAAGGGAGAAAAGAUUUUAUCGGAGAUGGAUGAGCCCGCGUUGGAUUAGCUAGUUGGUGGGGUAAUGGCCUACCAAGGCGACGAUCCAUAGCUGGUCUGAGAGGAUGAUCAGCCACACUGGGACUGAGACACGGCCCAGACU